AGAGUUUGAUCCUGGCUCAGGAUGAACGCUGGCGGUCUGCUUAACACAUGCAAGUCGAACGCAACCUUCGGGUUGAGUGGCGGACGGGUGAGUAACGCGUGAGAAUCUGCCUUAGGGUCGGGGACAACCACUGGAAACGGUGGCUAAUACCGGAUAAGCCGAUUGGUGAAAGAUUUAUUGCCCGAAGAGGAGCUCGCGUCUGAUUAGCUAGUUGGUGAGGUAAGAGCUCACCAAGGCAGCGAUCAGUAGCUGGUCUGAGAGGACGAUCAGCCACACUGGGACUGAGACACGGCCCAGACUCCUACGGGAGGCAGCAGUGGGGAAUUUUCCGCAAUGGGCGAAAGCCUGACGGAGCAAGACCGCGUGAGGGAGGAAGGCUCUUGGGUUGUAAACCUCUUUUCUCAGGGAAGAAGCUCUGACGGUACCUGAGGAAUCAGCCUCGGCUAACUCCGUGCCAGCAGCCGCGGUGAUACGGAGGAGGCAAGCGUUAUCCGGAAUUAUUGGGCGUAAAGCGUCCGCAGGUGGCGAUUCAAGUCUGCUGUCAAAGCACGGGGCUUAACUCCGUUAAGGCAGUGGAAACUGAAUAGCUAGAGUGCCGUAGGGGUAGAGGGAAUUCCCGGUGUAGCGGUGAAAUGCGUAGAGAUCGGGAAGAACAUCGGUGGCGAAAGCGCUCUACUGGACGGCAACUGACACUC
rnacentral:rRNA from 1 species